AUGGCGCUCGAACGAGACCAAAGAGCGCGGCACCCUCUCAUGCAGCGGUGGCCGGAGGCGUGGAGCAGCUUUCACGAGGUCAGUGACGUGCUUUGGCCCACCACCAAGGGUCUCUGCGCGGCGGAGAUCGAGCUCCACGCCGUAAAGAAGGCGGUGGACGGCGAUGAAGAUGGCGCCGCCGAGCAGCUCAAGGCGGACAAGGAGGGUUACGAGCUCAGGGCCCAACAACAGCCUGCGGCCGAGCUGCCCAGGCCGAAACAAUUUCUGUAUCACGAGUUCGAUCGAUCGCACGAACACCCUGACUCCCUGUCUGUUUCGUUUCUCCCAGGCGGCAAGCGCAGCCUAACAGGCUAA
rnacentral:rRNA from 1 species